rnacentral:rRNA from 1 species
UACGGAGGGUGCAAGCGUUAUCCGGAUUCACUGGGUUUAAAGGGUGCGUAGGCGGGCAGGUAAGUCAGUGGUGAAAUCCCCGAGCUCAACUUGGGAACUGCCGUUGAUACUAUCUGUCUUGAAUACUUUGGAGGUAAGCGGAAUAUGUCAUGUAGCGGUGAAAUGCUUAGAUAUGACAUAGAACACCAAUUGCGAAGGCAGCUUGCUACACAGUUAUUGACGCUGAGGCACGGAAAGCGUGGGGAUCAAACAGG